UUGUUGCAGUUAAAGCUCGUACUUGGAUUUCUGGAUUGAGCGGCUGGCCUUGCGCGCAAGCGUUCGUGUCGGCUUCGUUUCGGUCCAUCCUCAGGGGGACUUGCGCUGGCAUUAACGUGUCGGUGUUGGGACGCCUGUCGUUUACUGUGAACAAAUUAGAGUGUUCAAAGCAAGGUGUACUUGAAUACAUUAGCAUGGAAUAAUAAGAUAGGACUUUGGUGGUUCUUUUUGAUAUUUUGUUGGUUUGCACGCCCAAGUAAUGAUUAAUANGGAGCAGUUGGGGGUAUUCGUAUUCAAUUGUCAGAGGUGAAAAUUCUUGGAAUUUAUAAAA
rnacentral:rRNA from 1 species